rnacentral:lncRNA from 1 species
CAGUGGCAGUGCUGCUUCAGCUGGUGCCCUUGAACCCUUUCCCAAGCCGGCUAAUCCCAGGAUUCCGUGAUUUCCCUGCAGGUGGACGCCAGGAACAUCGACGGCAGCACCCCCCUGUGCGACGCCUGUGCCUCGGGGAGCAUCGAGUGUGUCAAGGUGCUGCUGUCCCACGGUGCCAAGGUGAACCCCCCCCUCUACACGGCCUCCCCUCUCCAUGAAGCCUGCAUGAAUGGCAGCCCCGAGUGUGUCCAGCUCCUCAUCGACGUCGGCGCCAACCUGGAGGCUCACGACUGUCACUUUGGGACUCCCCUGCACGUGGCCUGUGCCAGGGAACACCUGGACUGUGCCAAGCUGCUGCUCAAGGCAGGUAUGGCACCCACAGGGGUCCCUGUGGGUGGGCAGGGCGCGGUGGUGUCCGUGGGAAGCGACUCCUCGGCGGAAUUCCUGCCGGGAUAGAGAUGGUCAGAGGUGAAAGUUUUUGGCUUCACGGAGCAAAACUUGGUGUUCAAACACUGUUUUGGCCUAUUCCAUAAAUACCCCUCUCCCAGUGGGAUGCUCCAUCCCUGGAAGUGUCCAAGGCCAGGUUGUGGACGGGGUUUGGAGCAACCUGGGAUAGUGGAAGGUCUCGGGGUUGGAACUGGGUGACCUUUAAGGUCCCUUCCUACCCAAACCAUUCCGUGAUUCCCUGAUUCCCAACCUCUAAAUGGAACAAUUCAGGGCUCAUUCAGAACACACAGCUGGGUGUUAAGCCCAGAUGACUUUUGCUGGAUGUUCAAGUCCCAAGAUUUGCCUCCAGGGAGGAAUUUGGGUCGAACUUCCUGUCUUUCCCUGUGCUUCCAGGAGGAGGUUUGGCCCAGGGCUGGGGAUUUAUUUAAUUGAAUAACAAUUAUCUAAAAAUUACACACCUAAGCCAGUUUAGAUCCACCCACUCCAGUUCCCCAUUAAUUGAUUCCCAAGAAAUUCCAGUUUCUCAUUAAUUCUGAAGAAGUCCAGUGUGGCCACACAUUCCCAAAAGGGAAUUGUUUGAGUUCAGUGUGGUCUCUCUCACCUCUGCUGGUCAAAUUCCAGCUGUUUUGGGGAUAGGGAAUGACUUCUUGCCAUAAACUUACAAAAACCAAACUUCCUUGGCAAAAAUAUCCAUAACUAAACCUUGGCUGGUGGAGCUGGAACACCUCCUGGAUCUGGGGGUGUUCCUGUCGAAAUAAUCAACAGAGUUCUCGCUGUCUUGAGUGGGAAUGUUCCGUGGAGAUGACUGGGAAUGGCUCUUUGGAUCCAGGAAGCAGUUAUGACCUCAUUUCCCCAAAUACCAGGGACUGAGAUCCCCCUCUCUCCAAGGAAAACAGAAAUCCAGAGAGGAAAACCCACGAUUUUUCCAGCACCGAGAACUCGCUCAGCAAUUUUCUUGAAAACUGGUGUUUUUUCUUGCUGAGCUGCUCCUCAGUCCCAGCUCUCUAUUCCAACUGCCAGCCCAU